rnacentral:rRNA from 1 species
UGCGUAGGCGGUCAUCUAAGUCACGUGUGAAAUCUUCUGGCUCAACCAGAAAACUGCGCGUGAAACUAGUUGACUUGAGUGAGGUAGGGGUGUGUGGAACUUCCGGUGGAGCGGUGAAAUGUGUAGAGAUCGGAAGGAACGCCAGCAGCGAAAGCGGCACACUGGGCCUUUUCUGACGCUGAGGCACGAAAGCUAGGGGAUGAACG